rnacentral:rRNA from 1 species
UAAACGACUCUCGACAACGGAUAUCUCGGCUCACGCAUCGAUGAAGAACGUAGCAAAAUGCGAUACUUGGUGUGAAUUGCAGAAUCCCGUGAACCAUCGAGUUUUUGAACGCAAGUUGCGCCUAAAGCCUUUUGGCCAAGGGCACGUCUGCCUGGGCGUCACAC